rnacentral:lncRNA from 1 species
GCAUGAUUAUAUGAAAUAUCUUUUAGUGCAGGAAGUCUCUAUAUGUUCAUAGAUUAUGUCUAUUUUAUUCGAGAAUUCAGUUUAAUAUGUAAUCCAAUCAUGUGUCCAAAGAGAUCACGAAACAGAGAUCCAAUGGACGAGUAAAUUGGAACAUUAUUAAUUUCGCAAAACGAAGAAAUUGCCUCUAGACAUUAGCCCAUUACUGGACGGUUUAGGGACACAGUGCGUUUGCUUAUAAUUCAAUUCAACCAGAAGCACCCAAUCAUCUACAAUUUACCAAAAAUUACGAAUUCUAACAUCACAUCUCACAAAUUUUAGAAUAAAGAAAUAUAGACGACAAAAAAUUAGAAGAAAUGUGCCAGUAGGAUAAAGGGCCUGAAAAUUCAGUAAUCAAAUUCAGGAGAGUGAUACUGGCAAAUUAUUAUCGCAAGUUAUGAGUAAAAUAAUUGGCUGGAUCGUUGAUUUUACCGGGAUCCAGUCAAGAAGCUGAACUUGCUCGCAAUAAUUUCUUGUCUUCUGUCGGACGCAUAAUACAAUUCAAAGGAAAAACAAAAUCAUAUACACACCAAAAGAGAAUCUAGGAGCCUG